UACAUUAUGGUGUAGGGCACGUAAAUUUUUGGAUUUUAAGGUGAAGGCUCAUAACCUUCUUUUGUAA
rnacentral:tRNA from 1 species